rnacentral:rRNA from 1 species
GAUGAACGCUGGCGGCGUGCCUAAUACAUGCAAGUCGAGCUAACGGACGAGAAGCUUGCUUCUCUGAUGUUAGCGGCGGACGGGUGAGUAACACGUGGAUAACCUACCUAUAAGACUGGGAUAACUUCGGGAAACCGGAGCUAAUACCGGAUAAUAUUUUGAACCGCAUGGUUCAAAAGUGAAAGACGGUCUUGCUGUCACUUAUAGAUGGAUCCGCGCUGCAUUAGCUAGUUGGUAAGGUAACGGCUUACCAAGGCAACGAUGCAUAGCCGACCUGAGAGGGUGAUCGGCAACACUGGAACUGAGACACGGUCCAGACUCCUACGGGAGGCAGCAGUAGGGAAUCUUCCGCAAAGGGCGAAAGCCUGACGGAGCAACGCCGCGUGAGUGAUGAAGGUCUUCGGAUCGUAAAACUCUGUUAUUAGGGAAGAACAUAUGUGUAAGUAACUGUGCACAUCUUGACGGUACCUAAUCAGAAAGCCACGGCUAACUACGUG